CAUGCAAGUCGAGGGGCAGCAUGGUCUUAGCUUGCUAAGGCCGAUGGCGACCGGCGCACGGGUGAGUAACACGUAUCCAACCUGCCGUCUACUCUUGGACAGCCUUCUGAAAGGAAGAUUAAUACAAGAUGGCAUCAUGAGUCCGCAUGUUCACAUGAUUAAAGGUAUUCCGGUAGACGAUGGGGAUGCGUUCCAUUAGAUAGUAGGCGGGGUAACGGCCCACCUAGUCUUCGAUGGAUAGGGGUUCUGAGAGGAAGGUCCCCCACAUUGGAACUGAGACACGGUCCAAACUCCUACGGGAGGCAGCAGUGAGGAAUAUUGGUCAAUGGGCGAGAGCCUGAACCAGCCAAGUAGCGUGAAGGAUGACUGCCCUAUGGGUUGUAAACUUCUUUUAUAAAGGAAUAAAGUCGGGUAUGGAUACCCGUUUGCAUGUACUUUAUGAAUAAGGAUCGGCUAACUCCGUGCCAGCAGCCGCGGUAAUACGGAGGAUCCGAGCGUUAUCCGGAUUUAUUGGGUUUAAAGGGAGCGUAGAUGGAUGUUUAAGUCAGUUGUGAAAGUUUGCGGCUCAACCGUAAAAUUGCAGUUGAUACUGGAUAUCUUGAGUGCAGUUGAGGCAGGCGGAAUUCGUGGUGUAGCGGUGAAAUGCUUAGAUAUCACGAAGAACUCCGAUUGCGAAGGCAGCCUGCUAAGCUGCAACUGACAUUGAGGCUCGAAAGUGUGGGUAUCAAACAGGAUUAGAUACCCUGGUAGUCCACACGGUAAACGAUGAAUACUCGCUGUUUGCGAUAUACUGCAAGCGGCCAAGCGAAAGCGUUAAGUAUUCCACCUGGGGAGUACGCCGGCAACGGUGAAACUCAAAGGAAUUGACGGGGGCCCGCACAAGCGGAGGAACAUGUGGUUUAAUUCGAUGAUACGCGAGGAACCUUACCCGGGCUUAAAUUGCAGAUGAAUUACGGUGAAAGCCGUAAGCCGCAAGGCAUCUGUGAAGGUGCUGCAUGGUUGUCGUCAGCUCGUGCCGUGAGGUGUCGGCUUAAGUGCCAUAACGAGCGCAACCCUUGUUGUCAGUUACUAACAGGUUCCGCUGAGGACUCUGACAAGACUGCCAUCGUAAGAUGUGAGGAAGGUGGGGAUGACGUCAAAUCAGCACGGCCCUUACGUCCGGGGCUACACACGUGUUACAAUGGGGGGUACAGAGGGCCGCUACCACGCGAGUGGAUGCCAAUCCCCAAAACCUCUCUCAGUUCGGACUGGAGUCUGCAACCCGACUCCACGAAGCUGGAUUCGCUAGUAAUCGCGCAUCAGCCACGGCGCGGUGAAUACGUUCCCGGGCCUUGUACACACCGCCCGUCAAGCCAUGGGAGCCGGGGGUACCUGAAGUGCGUAACCGCGAGGAGCGCCCUAGGGUAAAACUGGUGACUGGGGCUAAG
rnacentral:rRNA from 1 species